UUUAAUGUUCUUGCAUGGGUUGAAAGCUCAAUUAAGAUAUCAUUGUAAGAGCUUGAUUAUAUAUUUUGUUAAAACUUUUUUUUUCAAUUAUAUUUCUUUUUUAUUUUAUGUACUUCUUCAUUUUUUCAUUGUUUUUAUACUAUUAAAUGUAUAAUACAUUUGUAUAAUAAUAUUUUAUGGCUAUAAGGAAAUUACUUUAUCGAUGGGAUUCAAAAAUAUUGAUUUAUG
rnacentral:lncRNA from 1 species